GACAGAGGGUGCAAACGUUGUUCGGAAUUACUGGGCGUAAAGUGAGUGUAGGCGGUCUGAAAAGUCGGGUGUGAAAGCCCUGGGCUCAACCCAGGAAGUGCACUCGAAACUGCCAGGCUAGAGUAUCGGAGAGGUUGGUGGAAUUCUCGGUGUAGAGGUGAAAUUCGUAGAUAUCGAGAGGAACACCGGUGGCGAAGGCGGCCAACUGGACGAAUACUGACGCUGAGACUCGAAAGCGUGGGGAGCAAACAGG
rnacentral:rRNA from 1 species